GAUGAACGCUGGCGGCGUGCCUAAUACAUGCGAGUCGAGCGAACAGACGAGGAGCUUGCUCCUCUGACGUUAGCGGCGGACGGGUGAGUAACACGUGGAUAACCUACCUAUAAGACUGGGAUAACUUCGGGAAACCGGAGCUAAUACCGGAUAAUAUAUUGAACCGCAUGGUUCAAUAGUGAAAGACGGUUUUGCUGUCACUUAUAGAUGGAUCCGCGCCGCAUUAGCUAGUUGGUAAGGUAACGGCUUACCAAGGCAACAAUGCGUAGCCGACCUGAGAGGGUGAUCGGCCACACUGGAACUGAGACACGGUCCAGACUCCUACGGGAGGCAGCAGUAGGGAAUCUUCCGCAAUGGGCGAAAGCCUGACGGAGCAACGCCGCGUGAGUGAUGAAGGUCUUCGGAUCGUAAAACUCUGUUAUUAGGGAAGAACAAAUGUGUAAGUAACUAUGCACGUCUUGACGGUACCUAAUCAGAAAGCCACGGCUAACUACGUG
rnacentral:rRNA from 1 species